rnacentral:lncRNA from 1 species
UUCCUCUUGGGGCUUGUUUAGUAUUGAGGUUUAGGCUUCGUUUGGAAUUACGAGGAGAUUACGUGCAGUGAGAAAAUACGAUGAAAAAAAUUUUUGUUUGUUCCCGUACGUAAUAUUAUGUUCAGUAUCGCAAUAAGUUGGUUAAGAUAUAUUUUCUACGAUCGCACUGAAAAACGCAGAAGCAUAUCUUUAUAUACUUUAAUCCUAAUUUCAUUUUAUUUAAUAGCGUCAACUGGGCUUCAAAACCAAACUGAGCCUUAGAUACCAGACAUAACGGAGUUGAAAGAAAACUUAUAUAUAAAUAAUAUAUUUUCUAAUAUUCUGAUUACAUUUAGAGAUGUCAAUGGGUCAGAUUUGGGGCGAAUUUUCAAAAACCCGAACCCGAACCCGACUCCAAACCCGAGACCCGAACCCGACGGAUUUUAAAAAUCCAUAGUCAAACCCGAACCCGACAAAAAAUCCGAAACCCGAACCCAAACCCGAACCCGAAAAUUUGAACCCAAAACAAUUAUUUCUUUUUUCAAUAUUUCAAAAUAUAUUAUAUUAAAUCUAAAUUUUUAAAAUACAAAUUCAAAUAUAACAUCAAAUUUAUAUAUAUAUAUAUAUAUAUAUAGAAUUAGGUUACUUUACUAUCUAUAGUACCGGAGCUCCGGUACUAUAGUCAUGUUUUCGAUCUUAGGGUGUUCAAAUUAACGAUCCACACUAUUAAAUAUAAUAUAGGGUAUAUAUAUAUAUAUAUAUAUAUGAAGUUAUUAGGAAUAAAAUUUUAGUUUUUUUCGACAUCGUUUAAUUAGUAAAUAAAUUAUGUCAAAAUAGAAAGUGAAAAUUGAAUAAUCUUUAAAAUAUGAGUAUAGGGCUUUAAAUUCAAGAUCAAGAACGUUAACUUUAAUCUAGAUAGUUUAAAGUAUUUUCUAUCAAAAUUUAAAAAAAUUUAGAUUCUUCUACACCGUUAAACUCCAAACUCGCUAAAGUAGCCAUUGAAAAUUGACAAUUUUGAAAUAGUUUGAUCAUAAAGUAAACUAUGUCCAAAAAAUAUAAAAUUUUAUUUCUAAAAACUUUAAAUACCCUAGAUCAGUUUUAACGGUGUGGAUCGUUAAUUUGAACACCCUUAGAUCGAAAACGAGACUAUAGUACCGGAGCCCCGGUACUAUAGAUAAUAUAGGAGACUAGCUAUAUAUAUAUAUAUAUAUAUAUAUUCNAAGUGGAGGUAGCUCCAUACUUGUUGAAAUGGUCACUCAUGCAUGCUUUGUGGCUAAAUUAUCGAUCCCUUUUCAUCGAUCCUUGAACUAUGAGGCAUGCGAUACUUUGGUGCUUAAAUUUUAAUAUGUAUAAUUUUAGAUUCGGAUUUUGUAAAUUACUAUAAUCAAGUCUCAUUAUCCAGAUUAGUUGACUAAAUAUUCAUAUGUGUCACUGAUGUAAAAAUGAUGUGACAUUUUAAUUAUGUAAUCAAUCACACCGUUGUUAUGUCACUUUCACAUUAGCGACACAUUCAUAUUUAGUCAAUAAAAUUGUAUGACUUAACUGCAAUAAUUCAAAAAAAUCAAACUAGAAAUUAUAAUAAAUUAAUUUUAAAGAUCUAAUU